rnacentral:rRNA from 1 species
AAUGAACGUUGGCGGCGUGGAUUAGGCAUGCAAGUCGAGCGGGUGCAGCAAUGCACCAGCGGCGGAAGGGUGAGUAAGGCGACGGCAACCAACCCCGAGGAUGGGUAUAGCCGCGGGAAACUGCGGGUAAUCCCCAGCGAUGCGAGGGCGUCGGCAUCGACGCUUCGCCAAAUGGAUUCGGCCGCCUCGGGACGGGCCGUCGUGGUAUGAGGUCGUUGGCGGGGUAGCGGCCCACCAAGCCUUCGAUGCCUACCGGGCGUGCGAGCGCGGCCCGGCACACUGGGACUGAGACACUGCCCGGACUCCUACGGGAGGCUGCAGUCGAGAAUCUUCGGCAAUGGGCGCAAGCCUGACCGAGCGACGCCGCGUGGAGGACGAAGGCCUUCGGGUUGUAAACUCCUGUCGAGGGGGAGAAAGGCUCCGCGAGGGGCUUGAUCGAUCCCUGGAGGAAGCACGGGCUAAGUUCGUGCCAGCAGCCGCGAUAACAC